UGGGAUGCAGCAUGGAGAGAUUGCAAGAGGACAUCAGCACAAAUAAUAAAGAGAUACGGGGAUAAAAGACAACCUUGCUGCAGCCCCAUGGUCGAGAAGAAGUCGGUCGAGGGAGUCCCAUUAAUCAAUAUAGCGAAGGUGGGUUUACAAAUGCAUGCCAUGAUCCAUCCUAUCCAGCAAGGGUGAAAGCUAAACUCCUCCAAUGCCCACUCCAGGAAAGU
rnacentral:lncRNA from 1 species